rnacentral:lncRNA from 1 species
CUGACCUAUAGCUGUCAACUAUCUAUCUAUCUAUCUAUCUGUCUAUCUAUCUAUCUACCUAUUUUGAGACACAGUCUUGCCAAAUCACUAAGUUGCCCAGGCUGAGCUCAAAGUUGUGUUCCUCCUCCUCAGCCUCCCACAGUGCUGGGAUUACAGGUGUGCAUCACUAUGCCUGGCUGGGCAACAUGACAUUUUAGAUGAAAACUGUUCUAGAACAUCAAGGCUGCUUGGUGGCCAUCACUGUGGAGUGAGUGACAGUGGGUUCCACUGGCAGUGGCCAUCUGCCACCCUCUGCCCAGUCCCGAUUCCAUGAACACUGGGAAGAAACAUGCCCACCCAGGGGUUCUUUCCUGUCCAGUCUGAUCCUCUUCCUGGUACAGGCUUUCGCUCAACUCUAAGGGGAACUAUUGCUGCCUCACACAUUUUGGGGCCAAGAGUCUUCAUGUCUCUGUUCUCCUAGGCGUGAGGUCACCAGACUAGGUGACCAGAAACCCCUGCUGUAAAUCCUCCAGGUGAUCCGAUCCUCCCUCGAGUUUGGAAGUUUCUCUGGUCUACAGGAUCAGGAAAGCCAGGGUUCACAUAACCAAAGUAAAGUCAGAGCUGGAAGCCUGGAGGAGGGUGAGAUGGAAUCUGAGCCAAAGGAGGGGAAGGAAGUUCUGGGAAAUUGCUCUGAACGGUGGCUAUUUUCAGCCAGGCUUUAUCUCCUGCAGGUGCAGCCUGCGAGUGGGCUGGGCCAGUUUAAAGGGCCAGGAGCCAAGCAGACAGGUAGAAAAGCAUUUGCAGGUGUUUUUGUAGGUCAUCCUGACCUCUUGGGAAUGGCAGCUUGUAGUUUGUCACCUCUUCUGCUGUCCAAAGGAUUUGGUUUUGUCAGUGCCCUUCUGAGGGAGCUGGCCUGGCUUGGAUGUGGCAUCAGGGAACCAGCAUUUGCCUUAUCCAUUGCAACAAUCACUCUGCACUGUUCCCCAUGGAGGUGGAGAACUCCCAACAUGGCAGCCACGUGGAAAGUCCUUCCUCGGCAUAACCCAAAGCACCUGUUAUCGUGCACAGCAAAAAUGAACAGACAAUACAGAGUGAGUGCUGUACCCCUUUCCCCCUACAUGCAUGAUCUCACUACCUACCAACACCCAAUGUCUCACUAAAGACUCACCCAUGGAUUAACCCACCUAUGUGGCCAGCACCUCUCAGUCCAGUCGCUUUCUAAGUCCCACCUCUGAACAUUGCUAGUUGGGGGAUCAAGUCUCCAAACCACGGGCUUUGCGGGAUACUUCUUAUUUAAAUGCUAACAGCAUGCAGCUAACUGAACAAAUAUCAGAAAUAUCCUACUCAGUGGAAGUGAUCAAAAUAAAAGACUACCUACUGUACAUGAUCUUUGAUUCCAUUUAUAUGAAAUUUUAUUUGUUUUGUUUUCCUUUUUUUUUGGUACCGGAAG